GACCUCAAAUCAGGUAGGACUACCCGCUGAACUUAAGCAUAUCAAUAAGCGGAGGAAAAGAAACUAACAAGGAUUCCCCUAGUAACUGCGAGUGAAGCGGGAAAAGCUCAAAUUUAAAAUCUGACAGUCUUUGGCUGUCCGAGUUGUAAUCUAGAGAAGCAUUAUCCGCGCUGGACCGUGUACAAGUCUCCUGGAAUGGAGCGUCAUAGAGGGUGAGAAUCCCGUCUUUGACACGGACUGCCAGGGCUUUGUGAUGUGCUCUCAAAGAGUCGAGUUGUUUGGGAAUGCAGCUCAAAAUGGGUGGUAAAUUCCAUCUAAAGCUAAAUAUUGGCGAGAGACCGAUAGCGAACAAGUACCGUGAGGGAAAGAUGAAAAGAACUUUGGAAAGAGAGUUAAACAGUACGUGAAAUUGCUGAAAGGGAAACGCUUGAAGUCAGUCGCGUUGUCCAGGGAUCAAUCUUGCUUUUGCUUGAUGUACUUUCUGGUUAACGGGUCAGCAUCAAUUUUGACUAUUGGAAAAAGAUUGAGGGAAUGUGGCAUCUUCGGAUGUGUUAUAGCCCUUGGUUGCAUACAAUAGUUGGGAUUGAGGAACUCAGCACGCCGCAAGGCCGAGUUUGCACGUACGUGCUAGAU
rnacentral:rRNA from 1 species